AACGAACGCUGGCGGCGUGCUUAACACAUGCAAGUCGAACGGUAAGGCCCUUCGGGGUAUGCGAGUGGCGAACGGGUGAGUAACACGUGGGUGAUCUGCCCUGCACUUCGGGAUAAGCCUGGGAAACUGGGUUUAAUACCGGAUAGGACCACUGCCUGCAUGGGUGGUGGUGGAAAGCAUUUGCGGUGUGGGAUGGGCCCGCGGCCUAUCAGCUUGUUGGUGGGGUGAUGGCCUACCAAGGCGACGACGGGUAGCCGGCCUGAGAUGGUGACCGGCCACACUGGGACUGAGAUACGGCCCAGACUCCUACGGGAGGCAGCAGUGGGGAAUAUUGCACAAUGGGCGCAAGCCUGAUGCAGCGACGCCGCGUGAGGGAUGACGGCCUUCGGGUUGUAAACCUCUUUCAGCACCGACGAAGCGCAAGUGACGGUAGGUGCAGAAGAAGGACCGGCCAACUACGUGCCAGCCGCCGCCGUAA
rnacentral:rRNA from 1 species